rnacentral:lncRNA from 12 species
AUGGUGAGACAAUCUGCCAACAGCUGUGUGAGUCAAGAAAAUGUGCAGGCACGUUCAGAGGGGGUGCGGUGGGUGCUUGAGCACCUGCCCCUUUUCCCCUUGAUGCCCAAAGUGCCCCUUUGUCAAGGCAUGUUGUUGUUGUUGUUUUUUUGUUUUUUUUUUUUUUUUUUUUUUUUUUUUUUUUUUUUUUUUUUUUUUUUUUUUUUUUUUUUUUUUUUUUUUUUUUUUUUUUUUUUUUUUUUUUUUUUUUUUUUUUUUUUUUUUUUUUUUUUUUUUUUUUUUUUUUUUUUUUUUUUUUUUUUUUUUUUUUUUUUUUUUUUUUUUUUUUUUUUUUUUUUUUUUUUUUUUUUUUUUUUUUUUUUUUUUUUUUUUUUUUUUUUUUUUUUUUUUUUUUUUUUUUUUUUUUUUUUUUUUUUUUUUUUUUUUUUUUUUUUUUUUUUUUUUUUUUUUUUUUUUUUUUUUUUUUUUUUUUUUUUUUUUUUUUUUUUUUUUUUUUUUUUUUUUUUUUUUUUUUUUUUUUUUUUUUUUUUUUUUUUUUUUUUUUUUUUUUUUUUUUUUUUUUUUUUUUUUUUUUUUUUUUUUUUUUUUUUUUUUUUUUUUUUUUUUUUUUUUUUUUUUUUUUUUUUUUUUUUUUUUUUUUUUUUUUUUUUUUUUUUUUUUUUUUUUUUUUUUUUUUUUUUUUUUUUUUUUUUUUUUUUUUUUUUUUUUUUUUUUUUUUUUUUUUUUUUUUUUUUUUUUUUUUUUUUUUUUUUUUUUUUUUUUUUUUUUUUUUUUUUUUUUUUUUUUUUUUUUUUUUUUUUUUUUUUUUUUUUUUUUUUUUUUUUUUUUUUUUUUUUUUUUUUUUUUUUUUUUUUUUUUUUUUUUUUUUUUUUUUUUUUUUUUUUUUUUUUUUUUUUUUUUUUUUUUUUUUUUUUUUUUUUUUUUUUUUUUUUUUUUUUUUUUUUUUUUUUUUUUUUUUUUUUUUUUUUUUUUUUUUUUUUUUUUUUUUUUACAAGAAUAUGA